UAUAAAUAAUAUUUAAGUAAAAGUCAAAUAUAUAUACAUUUGUAUACAAAUAAAAUUUCAAAAUCUGCGGUCUUUGACAUUCGAGAGACAUCAUUUCAGCAAGAAGUAUUCCUGUUCGCUAUUUUCUCGAAGACUUUUACGAGUCUCGUCGUCCCAUUUAUGAGCACGAUUCAUCAUCAAAUCUUUAAACUCGCUGUCCUAAGGAGUCUUCGAAGCAUGCGCAGGUCGUCAGAUUGCUUUUAAGUCUUUCGUGAGCACAUUGGUUCUUCCGGCUUAAACUUCUCGCUUUUUAAUGUAUAGUAAUUAUAUAGCGCGUUUCGCAAUGUAAUUACUUUAUUCAAUUAAAGACAUCAACCACGAGAGGAAAAGAUCACGUUUGUUCAUAUCACUUAUUAAGAAGCGCUCGUUAGUAUCGUGUUAAAUGUGAUUUGAACAAGUUUGAAGAGACAGUUACUUUCUAGAAUUACAACGCUCGUAUUUAUUACUCAGCGAGGUCCGAGGUCGUUCAACAUGAGGCACGCGUACCAAUACCUUGGCUUACGUGACACGUGAUACAAGUGUUUUAAGCGCAAACUGCGCACGCGGCCAGGGUGUGGUAACUGCUUUGUCUCGUGUUACGAAUAGAAAAUAAACGACAUCGACGCUAUCGAGGAGCUCUUCUCGUGAUCGUAGUAAUAGUUUCUUGACAUUUACGAUCGACAAUAUUUGUUUUAUUCAUUAAUUCCGCGACAAAAUCGCGUAAAAAUAUUGUCGUUGUUUUUAAUAAUUACGCAACCGAUAGACAAGUAGAAAUUUAUUUACAGAUACAAAUGCAGAGCCGAAUUGUUUAUUGAAUGGCUAUAUGAUCGCGUUUCCGGGUCGCAAUUUUCCUCUGCGCGAUGUUGAUAGACCGUUUAAUCGGCUUGUAAAGUUCCGAAAUAGAUUAAGAGAAGCUGUAGGAUUGUGUGUACCCAGCGUACCCAGUGUAUCGUUGGCGAGUUUACUGACGAAACAAUAAUACGAAACUUGUUUGCUGGAUUAUCCCGAUACUUACUGCGCAUAUAACGGCCUGCUGAGCAUUUUCGUUUUUCGUCAAAAUGUCUAACAAUCUGUAAAUACCGGCGUUAUCAUUUACAG